UGGGGAAUUUUGGACAAUGGGCGAAAGCCUGAUCCAGCCAUGCCGCGUGCAGGAUGAAGGCCUUCGGGUUGUAAACUGCUUUUGUACGGAACGAAAAGACUCUGGCUAAUACCUGGGGUCCAUGACGGUACCGUAAGAAUAAGCACCGGCUAACUACGUGCCAGCAGCCGCGGUAAUACGUAGGGUGCAAGCGUUAAUCGGAAUUACUGGGCGUAAAGCGUGCGCAGGCGGUUAUAUAAGACAGAUGUGAAAUCCCCGGGCUCAACCUGGGAACUGCAUUUGUGACUGUAUAGCUAGAGUACGGCAGAGGGGGAUGGAAUUCCGCGUGUAGCAGUGAAAUGCGUAGAUAUGCGGAGGAACACCGAUGGCGAAGGCAAUCCCCUGGGCCUGUACUGACGCUCAUGCACGAAAGCGUGGGGAGCAAACAGGAUUAGAUACCCUGGUAGUCCACGCCCUAAACGAUGUCAACUGGUUGUUGGGUCUUCACUGACUCAGUAACGAAGCUAACGCGUGAAGUUGACCGCCUGGGGAGUACGGCCGCAAGGUUG
rnacentral:rRNA from 1 species